rnacentral:rRNA from 1 species
GACGAACGCUGGCGGCGUGCUUAACACAUGCAAGUCGAACGGUAAGGCCCUUCGGGGUACACGAGUGGCGAACGGGAGAGUAACACGUGGGUGAUCUGCCCUGCACUUCGGGAUAAGCCUGGGAAACUGGGUCUAAUACCGGAUAGGACCACUGCCUGCAUGGGUGGUGGUGGAAAGCUUUUGCGGUGUGGGAUGGGCCCGCGGCCUAUCAGCUUGUUGGUGGGGUGAUGGCCUACCAAGGCGACGACGGGUAGCCGGCCUGAGAGGGUGACCGGCCACACGGAGACAGAGAUACCGCCGAGACGGCUACGGGAGGAAGCGGUGGGGAAGAUUGCACAAUGGGCGCAGGCCUGGUGCAGGGACGCCGAGGGAGGGAUGACGGCCUCGGGGUUGGAAACCUCUUUCAGCACCGACGAAGCGCAAGUGACGGUAGGUGCAGAAGAAGGACCGGCCAACUACGUGCCAACGGCCGCCGUAA